CUGGACUAUUUACUAGAAACCCAAUUUUUGCCAGGAUGUUAAAAACAGAAAAGCCAGGAAAAAAAAUGAUUCCUACAAAUAAAUAUAAUUUUAGUGGACUAGACCCCCUUCUCCAUGACUUUUUCUUCCAGCUUCCAAUAUCUUUUAAGUAUUAAGAAAGGAAAUAUAAUGCGGGUGGUGGUGGUGGUGCACGGCUUUAAUCCCAGCCCCUGGGUGGCAGAGGCAGGCAGACUGUAAUCCUUCAAGCUUUCCCUCUUGUCAAAUAUCCCAUUAAAACCCAGUAUGUCGAUUUGGAGGAGGGUACUUCACAGAACAGAGAUGCAAGUCGUCCCUUUCCCACCACUCUGAACUUGGAUUUACUAUUGCUUAAACACUCCAUGCAUCAAGGAAGGAUUACAAGGGAAGGAAGGAAGGAAAUAUACUGGCAGAAGAGAAGGUGCAGCUCAGCUCUAUUAGGAAGAUGAAAAGUACCACAGAACCAUGACACUUUUGAGUAAGGAUGUAUCAGAAGGGCAGAAACAUGGAAGGGCAGUAAGGUCUCCAGUUCUGUGAUGGCCUCAGCCUUGAACUGACAGUUAACUAAGUUAGAAAGAUGAAACAAAAACAUUCAUAAAGAAUGGAUUGUCACAAUAAAAUCUUUCUUUGUGCAAGGUUUGUAGCAGCCUUGUGCAGUACAGGAAGGCAGAUUCUGAACCUCCACUAACAAUGACCCUCCUGUUGGCAGCUAAUGCAAAGAAAACGUUAUCUAAGCAGCCAGAGAAAUACACUACAUACCCCUUUUUAAAAUGAUGAAACAUUUUGAGUUUCACAAACCUGUACUCAUUAUUCUGACUCAACCCAAGGGGGAAUAAGAUUGAAUUUAGUCAUCCUUCAUAUAGCUAGAAUCUAAUUUUAUGGAUUUAUUCUCAGACUUGAGAGGGUAAGAGAGGAGAUAGAGAUUUUUUUUUAUUUAAUAAGGAAUCUGGGUUCCUUGAUACUGAUAUUGGAUUGAGCAGGGAGAGAUUUAUAAUCACACAAUUCUCCAGAGGAUCAAGGGAGAUAGAAACAAAUAAAAUCUUUUACCUACUGAAAUUGACUUUCAUCAAUUUGUUUUUUCACCAAAAGCACAUCACUAAAAGCAAAGCCGACAUGCCUUUUCAGUUGUUAUUAAAGUGGUUCCAGAGAGGUUUCUUGAGAUGGAAACUAACCACCACAGACCUGAAGUCAGCUUUAUAAAAAUACCUUACAGUGACAAGGCUUAGAGCACUCUGGGUUCAGAAAAACAAAGGAUGUGGCUGGAGAAACUCUUGAAGAAGUUAUCCUGUAACUAUAGGACCCAAAAAAGAUGUUGCUUGUACCUGUCCUAUGAAACUGCCACUGCCUUUUGAAUUUUCAGAGAGUACAGCAUAUGUCUUUGAGACACUUGGCAGUCUUAGCCUCCUCAACUGUGGUUCCCUCAAGUUUUACAUCCAGUAAGGGUAAUCCAUGCAGAUCACUGCUGCCGGCUCUUCUCACUACAGAGCAGCUGUGAACCAUGGGAGUCUGCAAGUGCAAGGUGGAAAAGUCAUAGAGAUGAAAGGUAAGAAACAAAAGACGAGAGACCAAAAGAGCUCAGAUGACUCCCUAGCUCCAUGCUGAAGUUCUAUCUAUACCCCGGUCUCCACAAUUUCUAGCCUCAAGAGAGUGCUGGGGAGCUGUGGUACCUGAUGUUUCUGACCUGACUAAAACACAUGCUUAACAACGACGGCAAAGACUUCCUGCACUUUAAGGAUGCUCUGGUUUUGCUGUCACUUUAUCAAGCAGCAGCCUCACUUCUAAAGGUGCUAAUGAGAACUGCAGAGAAGUCCUCUGAUUUACUCUUUGGCUCCCAAGCACAUCAACUUGUUCUCUUCAAGACCCCACAAAGGUACUAACACUAUGAUGGCUAAGUGCUACACCUCUCUUACGACACUGAGGCUUACUACCAUGUAACCACGGGGCCAGAGAUCAUCUUCUAAAAGUGAACACUGCUCAUUCAGAAAAACAAAACAAACAACUAAGGAUUUGGCUUAAACUGCAGACCAGAGGGAAACAGACUUCUUUUUUGGCCUGUAUUUUUAGAAAUGUCAUAAUGUAACCUAAGAUCCCUUGUUGGCAUUCUGACUCUUGCGCUGCCUCAGGGCGUCUUCCACCACGUCCUGAGUGUCAGCUGGGUGAGCUCCGUCCUCCUUUGGGGACACACUACCCUCCUUCACAACUGCUCGCUCGUUGGUGUCACUUCUCUCCUCAGCCAUGAUGCCUGCCAAGUUGUCCUCUUCCUCAUCUUCUUCUCCUUCAUCCUCAUCUCCAAUGUCCUCUUUCUCUUCCUCAUCAUCCACAAGACUGUCUUUGUUUUCUUCUUCAUUUGAGUCAUCCUUUUCUUCCUCUGCAUCCUGUAGCUGCUCAGCUCCUUGAGCCUCUCCAGUACUCUGCUCCUGCU
rnacentral:lncRNA from 1 species